rnacentral:rRNA from 1 species
AUUGAAAGCUGGCGGCAUGCCUUACACAUGCAAGUCGAACGGUAACAGGUCUUCGGAUGCUGACGAGUGGCGAACGGGCGAGUAAAACAUAGGAACGUGCCUAGUAGUUGGGGAUAACUACUCGAAAGAGUGGGUAAUACCGAAUGAGAUCUACGGAUGAAAGCAGGGGAUAGCAAGACCUUGUGCUACUAGAGCGGACGAUGGCAGAUUAGGUAGUUGGUGGGAUAAAAGCUGACCAAGCCGACGAUCUGUAGCUGGUCUGUGCGGACGAUCAGCCACAUUGGGACUGAGACACGGCCCAGACUCCUACGGGAGGCAGCAGUGGGGAAUUUUGGACAAUGGGCGAAAGCCUGAUCCAGCAAUGCCGCGUGCAGGAUGAAGGCCUUCGGGUUGUAAACUGCUUUUGUACGGAACGAAAAGCCCUGGGUUAAUACCCUGGGGUCAUGACGGUACCGUAAGAAUAAGCACCGGCUAUCUACGUGCCAGCCGCCGCAGUAA